GGCCCUCGGGGGGCCAAAAAAUCACGGAGAAGCGGAGCUUACCGGCGGCGGCGCUCUCGGGUGCGGCGGCUCUCCGGCGAGGUUCGUGGUUUGGUGAUUCGGCUCCGGUCAACCUGUAGAGAAAAGAAUGGUGAUCACGGUGAUAUAAAAAUUGCAUCACACGGAGGCCGGGAAGGGCCUCGUCGGAGGCAAAAACCGAGAGGGGGCGCGGCGGCGCCGCUGGUCUUCGACCGCGUAUUCCGGCCAUUUGGCCGGGAUUUUGGCUUCGAUUUAGCCACAGGAAGAAUCAGCGUGGAAAAACGAGUCUGGGGUAUGAAAUUUACCUCGAUCGGCGGUCGGAAAUUUCCCCGGUGCGGCGGCGGGUGGCGGCGGUCGGCCUCUGGUUCGUCUUCUCCGGCGAGCAGCAGGCGGCUAGGGUUUGUGGUCUGGUGUGGGGGUUCUAUUUAUAACCCCUAGCCUUUUGAUCUCAGCCGUCCAUUUUGUUUUAAUCUGGGUCGUUCGUUUUUU
rnacentral:lncRNA from 1 species